AUUUAUCUGGCCAUUUAAAAGCAACAAAGUCUCUCUCUCUCUGUCUUCCCAAAACCUCAAACUCACUCCCAAAACUCAACCAAACCCUAGACCCUAAAACCCUAAUAAUGGCGUCGGACACCAGCAAACCAUUCUUCCCCGUCGAAUCCCCUCACCAGCUCUCCGGCCUCCGCUGCCCUCCCCUCUCAAAACCCGCGUCGUCGUCUUCGUCGGCCAUAGCUAAAUUUAUUCCUCACCUAGAUAUCCUUUUCAUUUAUUUAUUCACUUUCUUCUCGCCUGCGCUCAAUUUAUCGUGAAUUUUACUUUUCUUUUUACGAUUUUUAAUCUCUAUGGGAGACGAAGAAGUGAGAUCGGAGGAGUCCGUUAAUGGCGGUACGGAUGUCCUGAGCUCUUCAGACGAUUCUGCCUCGUGUGCUGGUCAUCUCGUUGUGAUGGCCCAUGGAAUCCUUGGAAGUACUGCAGACUGGCAAUAUGGAGCUAACCAAUUUAUUAAAGCUCUUCCUGACAAAGUGAUAGUCCAUUAUUGCCAAAUCAAUGAUCAAGACUGGGAAAGUGCUAUCUAGAAGCCCAGCAAUCACAACGGAUAAGGAGCCAAAGGAGGAAACCAGAAUACUUAAGAUUUAUAUCUUGGGAGCUCAGUCAAGGCAUCCAAAGCAUACGAGAAAGUUCAUUACAGUAUGCAAAUGACAAUGCCUUGCAGCUUGCCAAGAUUCAACUGGAGACAAUGGUGAUAUAAAGGAAUUUGUAUAAAGAUAAGUGUGAACGUUUCUGAAAAUAUAAGAUCUAUAUGCUC